GGGGGCGACCGGUUUCGACGGGGAUACUAAAGUCAGCGGUGCAUGUCGAGCUCUCGGGGUCUCGUAAAUCCUCCGGGAAAAUGUAACUGCCAAUCAAGAACUGGCACUCGCAGCUUAAUUAAC
rnacentral:tmRNA from 1 species